AUGCUUGCUUCGGCAGCACAUAAACUAAAAUUGGAACGAUACAGAGAAGAUUAGCGUGGCCCCUGCACAAGGAUGACUCACAAAUUCAUGAAGCAUUCCAUAUUAAA
ensembl:snRNA U6 U6 spliceosomal RNA